GUAGGGUGCGAGCGUUGUCCGGAAUUACUGGGCGUAAAGAGCUUGUAGGCGGCUUGUCGCGUCGAUCGUGAAAACUCGGGGCUCAACCCCGAGCUUGCGGUCGAUACGGGCAGGCUUGAGUACUUCAGGGGAGACUGGAAUUCCUGGUGUAGCGGUGAAAUGCGCAGAUAUCAGGAGGAACACCGGUGGCGAAGGCGGGUCUCUGGGAAGUAACUGACGCUGAGAAGCGAAAGCGUGGGUAGCGAACAGGAUUAGAUACCCUGGUAGUCCACGCCGUAAACGGUGGGUACUAGGUGUGGGUUUCCUUCCACGGGAUCCGUGCCGUAGCUAACGCAUUAAGUACCCCGCCUGGGGAGUACGGCCGCAAGGCUAAA
rnacentral:rRNA from 1 species